CUCGUAAACGUGCUUACACAGACAGAACCUGUCGUCGUGUACCGCACCGUCGUCAUAAGGCUGGUACAUAAAAGUCAAACACGUUACUGGAGUUGAAGGAGAUCGGUUGCAGGUUGCAGGUUAGAAGCAAGAUACAUUGCGUCACAUCGCAUUUUACAAUACGCUCGCACAACGUUACGGCGCAAUACGAUACAGGAUAUAACUCGGAAAGAUUAUCCGAAGACACUCCUCUCUCAAUUGAGACACUGAAUUGAGUUUUCUCGAAUGACAGCUCGUCGUAUAAGUGUUACAUUUGUAUGAGAAAAUUACAUGAAAGUCGAUUACUGUCAUCCGAACGUCUUUAUAAGUCACACGA